GAGGGUAUCGAUUUUCACUCCCAACCCCUGUGACAUACCAAUUGUUGCCUCGGCGGAUCAGCCCGCUCCCGGUAAAACGGGACGGCCCGCCAGAGGACCCCUAAACUCUGUUUCUAUAUGUAACUUCUGAGUAAAACCAUAAAUAAAUCAAAACUUUCAACAACGGAUCUCUUGGUUCUGGCAUCGAUGAAGAACGCAGCAAAAUGCGAUAAGUAAUGUGAAUUGCAGAAUUCAGUGAAUCAUCGAAUCUUUGAACGCACAUUGCGCCCGCCAGUAUUCUGGCGGGCAUGCCUGUUCGAGCGUCAUUUCAACCCUCAAGCCCAGCUUGGUGUUGGGACUCGCGAGUCAAAUCGCGUUCCCCAAAUUGAUUGGCGGUCACGUCGAGCUUCCAUAGCGUAGUAGUAAAACCCUCGUUACUGGUAAUCGUCGCGGCCACGCCGUUAAACCCCAACUUCUGAAUGUUGACCUCGGAUCAGGUAGGAAUACCCGCUGAACUUAAGCAUAUCAAUAAGACGGAGGAA
rnacentral:rRNA from 1 species